GCAAGUGGAGCGACGAACCGGGGCUUGCCCCGGGGCAGAGCCGCGAACGGGUGAGUAACACGUGGGUAACCCACCCCGAUGACCGGGACAACCCGAGGAAACUCGGGCUAAUACCGGAUGUGCUCCUUGACCUUGAGGUCAAGGCGUAAAGAUAGCUUCGGCCUUCGCAUCGGGACGGGCCCGCGGCCCAUUAGCUUGUUGGUGGGGUAACGGCCUACCAAGGCGACGAUGGGUAGCUGGUCUGAGAGGACGAUCAGCCACACUGGGACUGAGACACGGCCCAGACUCCUACGGGAGGCAGCAGUGGGGAAUCUUGCGCAAUGCGCGAAAGCGUGACGCAACAACGCCGCGUGGGGGAAGAAGGCCUUCGGGUUGUAAACCCCUUUCAGUUGGGACGAAGCUUCGCCGGUGAAUAGCCGGCUGGAGUGACGGUACCUUCACAAGAAGCCCCGGCUAACUACGUGCCAGCAGCCGCGGUAAUACGUAGGGGGCUAGCGUUGUCCGGAAUCAUUGGGCGUAAAGCGCGUGUAGGCGGUCCGGUAAGUCCGCUGUGAAAGUCG
rnacentral:rRNA from 1 species